UACGUAGGCAGCAAGCGUUGUUCGGAAUUACUGGGCGUAAAGAGUGUGUAGGCGGUGCUUUAAGUCUGUCGUGAAAUCUCCCGGCUUAACUGGGAGGGUGCGGCGGAAACUGGAAUGCUAGAGGGUGGGAGAGGAAAGCGGAAUUCCUGGUGUAGCGGUGAAAUGCGUAGAUAUCAGGAGGAACACCUGCGGUGUAGACAGCUUUCUGGACCACUUCUGACGCUGAGACACGAAAGCGUGGGUAGCAAACAGG
rnacentral:rRNA from 1 species